CGAGCCCAAGCUUAAAACCCAAAGGACUUGACGGUGUCCCACCCACCUAGAGGAGCCUGUUCUAUAAUCGAUUCUCCCCGAUAAACCUCACCACUUCUAGCCAACUCAGCCUGUAUACCUCCGUCGUAAGCUUACCAUAUGAACGCUAAUUAGUGAGCUUAAAGAUCUUUACAUCAACACGUCAGGUCAAGGUGCAGCUCACGAAGUGGGAAGUAAUGGGCUACAAUUUCUAACUUAGAACACACGAAAGACUACAUGAAACACAGUCAUGAAGGCGGAUUUAGCAGUAAAAAGAAAAUAGAGAGUUCUUUUUAAUUAGGCGCUGGGACGCGUACACACCGCCCGUCACCCUCUUCAAACGCCCACAAACGUUAAUUAACACCUAACCGCACCAUAGAAGAGGUAAGUCGUAACACGGUAAGCGUACUGGAAAGUGCGCUUGGACUAACAA
rnacentral:rRNA from 1 species